AUGCUCUGUGAGGGUUGGCAGCACAUCACUACCAACAUUCCUCCCCCGGCGUUUCUUUUCGAUCAACGGAAUCAGCAAUAUCUGACUGGAAACAAGCACCCCUUCUGGAAGUCCUCGGGCAAUUGAAGCUGGUAGAGAAUCAUGACUUCUCUCGUAAAACAAUCUGGACAUGGAAAAGGAUGACUUUGACCAUGAGUUGCAGAUCCAAAUCGCUGUCAACAACUAAACAAUAGGACCCCUGCCAUUCUGACUGGAGAAGAUGUCAUCUAUGCUGGAUGUAGGGUGCUUGUUCCCUGGUAAGGACAUCGGAUGGUGAAGUACGUGCAGGACAUCCUGGGCAUGAGGAAAAUUGUGGAAGACAGCACCAACAAUAUCUGGACUUUCACUUGCUCAACUGAGAAGGAACUCUUUUCAAUUUAGGCCUAAGGGUUCAAAAGUUAUCUUUUAAUUCUGUAGGACUAUGAUUGACUCCUCAGUGGAAUAUCGGGACAAAACUUUUUGGCCUCUAAGAAGUACCACUCCUCAAACCGUCAAACUCCUGGAUGCAGAGAAAGUACCACUCCUCAAACCGUCAAACUCCUGGAUGCCGAGAAAGAAUAUAGUGGUUAGAUCUCUCUUGUUGGCUAGUUUUAGAGUUAGUUUUGGUGUUCAAGGAUAAAGACAAACAAAAUUGGGAGUGGUACUUCAGAGAGGCAAAAAAGUUUUGUCCCGAUAUUCCAGCUGCUGUAGCUUAGGUAGUGUAGUGAAGAUUUUACAUUCAAAUGCGAUUUGCCACACUGAAGGUCCCUCCAGAGAUUGUUGGACUGGGUCCAUUGAAUGUGACAAAAAUACCCAACACCUGUUUACAAAUGAAGUGAGGGGUCAGCCUUUUGGUGUAACUCCAUAUAACUGUCUGGUGAUUUCGCUCUGGGCUUGUGACAUUCUGAUCGGUCUGAAAUAAUCAUUACCGCCCAUCCCUCAAUUUGAGGCCUGUGUCCCGAUGGUGGCGUUGAAUGGCAAAAUCAAAGGGGCAUGACGGCGGUUAAACCUGUUGCGAAUGGGCAGCAUCAUUACCAGUUCUGAGAUCUGGUGUGGUGUAGGAUAUCUGGUUACCAUUGCACACAUCUCCUGAAUCUGCGGUGGGUUGGUACCCCACGCUACGUAGGGGGAGGUUGCUGGGUAAGACUUGGUCCACGUGAAUGGGUAGUACCUGAAAGAUGAGAAGUUGCGAAUGGACGCCCUGUGAAUAUGUCCUUCGACCAGCCAGUGCUAACCCGGUCACUGUCUCCAGGUCACCAUGCCUCGGUCAAUGAGCGGGCGAAGAACCCAAUGGCUCCGUCAGGAGUACAUCGUCAACUUCAGCCCGUAGUCAAACCGGUGCACGCACAAAUAUCUUGGCUGAGAGUGGGGGACGUACUUGCUUCUCAUCGGGGUAAUACAGUACCACUGUAUACAAUGACCCCAUUUUAUUUGGAUUUUUAUUGAGGAGUGGACGAUAAUGAGAAUUUCAGGCCAGUCCGAUUGUCACCAGUUCAGAGGGAGAUUACCUGAUAGUUAUGUGGCAUUCCGUCAAACGGUUAACUCUUUCACAUCCUUUGUAAAUUAGUGUUGCUUGUUACAUGUCGCAUUCAAUGGCUCAUUUGAGGAUAGUUUCGGUGAUUCUACUUGACCACGAGC